ensembl:lncRNA
GUACAUCAAUAGAGUGAUAAGAAGAAAACGCUCUCCGGUGCUGUGCUCUGUAAAUAUCACAAAUCACACAGUGGGAACCUGCGAGCAAGGCACACACUUCCACGCCGGUCAAUCUCAUUAGCGCGAACGUGAUGCGUAUGUGUUGUCAUGGAAGGUGAGGACGUUUUACCGUCUAGGGAACAUCAGAAAAUGUGAAAAUGAAUUUCGUUCCUGACCAAAAUUUGAUGUUAUAGACUCAAAAAAAUGAAGAAUAAAGACUAUAUAGACAGAAAAUACAAUUUUUGUUAUUACUAUUUUUUUUUUUUUCCAAUUCUGAAUGAAUAGUCCUAGACGUCUCGUCUCGUCUGUGCUGUCGUGUCAGGUUUUGUAACUUCUCGGAUACGGAUUUAUAUUUUUCCUCGGAGCACUGAAACCUAAUCUGUUGUGAAAUUGUUGAUACUGCUCAACGUGACAAAACGACCCCCCCCCCAGGAGUAACGAUUCACUUUAUAUGAGCCCUUAGGCAAAUUGACGUUGUGCCGAUCGUACACGCGCCAAACGGGCUCGUUUCCAGGCUCUACGUUUCACUAAACACUAUAAAGAUGAAUGUUAGUGCAGUCUUGGUAAGAACAUACUGUCACUCUGCUGUAACAUACGUAAUGAAUAUGCAACGGAUUGCAGAUACUAAAGCGGUGAUCAAAUAUACUGGUGGUGUAUUUGACGUGAUUGAGGUUUACGUCCAGCUUUGAGUAAUGUUUUUUGUUAUUCUUUUCCCCCACACUGUGUUAACCAGGUAGUAAAAAAAAUCACAGCCAACGUAUUUCGAGGAAUGAAAAUGAAUUAGGCAAACGAACAGAGUUGUUCCCUGGUAAUCAUUUUAAAAGUUCUGCUGCCAGUAAAUAAAAUGCAGAGUGCUCAGAUAUGAAAUGAAGCUCUUCGGACAAAAGAGAACCCACUUUCGUUAGCGUGGAAGAGUACGGGGUGCUCACACUGAGCUGCACACGGAGCUGCGCACGGAGCUGCUGGUGUUGGUUGGGGGUUGGUCAGAAUUCCUUCAGGAGGAGAGGAGAGGUGGGGUUUUUUGGUCAGAAUUCCUUUGGGAGUGAGUGGGACUGGUCAAAAUGUGAUCAUUUUAUUUGAUUUCUAUUGUUCUUUUAAUAAUACAGUCACAAAGCAGCUUUACAGGGAUUAGUCAGAGUUCCUUUGCGAGAAGGCAGGAUUGGUCAGAAAUCCGUCUUGAGAGGUGGGAUUAAUCAGAAUUCCUUUAUGAGAGCAGGUGGGAUCAGUCAGAAUUCCUUUACGAGAGCAGGUGGGAUCAGUCAGAAUUCCUUUACGAGAGCAGGUGGGAUCAGUCAGAAUUCCUUUGCGAGAGCAGGUGGGAUCAGUCAGAAUUCCUUUGCGAGAGCAGGUGGGAUCAGUCAGAAUUCCUUUGCAAGAGCAGGUGGGAUCAGUCAGAAUUCCUUUGCAAGAGCAGGUGGGAUCAGUCAGAAUUCCUUUGCAAGAGCAGGUGGGAUCAGUCAGAAUUCCUUUGCAAGAGCAGGCGGGAUCAGUCAGAAUUCCUUCAAGAGAACGUGGGAGCAGGAUUUAAAAAAAAGAAAGGAAAGAAACAACAGUUUAAUGCACACCUCUACACCAUAGUAACUCAUGCGGCGUGUUUUGUAUCAUUAUCCUGCAACAUGAAGUGACCUCAAGUUUAGAGUUUGUUUAUUAUUCGAUAUUUGGCCUUUUUAAUGGGGGAAGUCCUUAGAUCAUUUUUUGUGUAAUUUGAGAGUGUUUUUUUCAUUCUAGAACAUGAUGACCUGCUUUACUUUCACUUUUUAUUUUAUUUUUUUCCUGCUGCGGAUAAACAGCAACAGAACCCGGAUUCACGCGUCACUUCUAGAGUCUAGGUCUUGUUUUAAGCUCUGUUGUACACGAACAGACUGUACACUGACGCACAACUAGCCAAAAUACCACCACCAAACCAAAUGUACAUUUCCUUUUGAGUCUCCUGAAAUAAACUGAGUGUACCCUAUAUGACUUGUGAGGCUUCUAAUGAAUGAAUUUUUUUUUCUUUUCUUUUUUCCCCCUGUAGUCCUUCUCAUGUCUAGUGCUUCUAGGCUAACAAGCUACAUUCAAGUGUUUUCCAAGCACUAAACACACCUG